GAACGCGAAGAACCUUACCAAGGCUUGACAUAUACUGGACCGCAUCAGAGAUGGUGUUUCCCUUCGGGGCUGGUAUACAGGUGGUGCAUGGUUGUCGUCAGCUCGUGUCGUGAGAUGUUGGGUUAAGUCCCGCAACGAGCGCAACCCUCGUUCUAUGUUGCCAGCACGUUAUGGUGGGGACUCAUAGGUAGACUGCCGGGGUCAACUCGGAGGAAGGCGGGGAUGACGUCAAAUCAUCAUGCCCCUUAUGUCUUGGGCUUCACGCAUGCUACAAUGGCCGGUACAGAGGGUUGCGAUACUGUGAGGUGGAGCUAAUCCCUAAAAGCCGGUCUCAGUUCGGAUUGGGGUCUGCAACUCGACCCCAUGAAGUCGGAGUCGCUAGUAAUCGCAGAUCAGCAACGCUGCGGUGAAUACGUUCCCGGGUCUUGUACACACC
rnacentral:rRNA from 1 species